UACGAAGGGGCUAGCGUUGCUCGGAAUCACUGGGCGUAAAGCGCACGUAGGCGGAUUGCUAAGUCAGGGGUGAAAUCCUGGAGCUCAACUCCAGAACUGCCCUUGAUACUGGCGGUCUCGAGUCCGGGAGAGGUGAGUGGAACUGCGAGUGUAGAGGUGAAAUUCGUAGAUAUUCGCAAGAACACCAGUGGCGAAGGCGGCUCACUGGCCCGGUACUGACGCUG
rnacentral:rRNA from 1 species